UUUCCUGUAGUCAAUCCAGGCUGUGCUCAGAUUGGUCUGUUUAGACCUUGAGUCUUGGGUGACUGCUCUAUCUAUGAGCAACUGGUGUUUUGAGCCUCUGGGGU